rnacentral:rRNA from 1 species
ACGCUCGACACCUACGGGAGGCAGCAGUGGGGAAUAUUGCACAAUGGGGGAAACCCUGAUGCAGCAACGCCGCGUGAAGGAAGACGGUUUUCGGAUUGUAAACUUCUGUUCUUAGUGAAGAUAGUGACGGUAGCUAAGGAGCAAGCCACGGCUAACUACGUGUCAGCAGCCGCGGUAAUCUGAGCGGCUGGCAAGGC